rnacentral:rRNA from 1 species
UAAGUCCCGCAACGAGCGCAACCCUUAUCUUUAGUAGCAGCGGUUCGGCCGGGCACUCUAGAGAGACUGCCAGGGAUAACCCGGAGGAAGGCGGGGAUGACGUCAAAUCAUCAUGCCCCUUAUGACUUGGGCUACACACGUGCUACAAUGGCGUAAACAAAGGGAAGCAAAGCUGUGAAGCCGAGCAAAUCUCAAAAAUAACGUCUCAGUUCGGACUGUAGUCUGCAACCCGACUACACGAAGCUGGAAUCGCUUGUAAUCGCAGAUCAGAAUGUGCGGUGAAUACGUUCCCGGGUCUUGUACACACCGCCCGUCACACCAUGGGAGUUGGGAAUGCCCGAAGCCAGUGACCUAACCGAAAGGAAGGAGCUGUCGAAGGCAGGCUCGAUAACUGGGGUGAAGUCGUAACAAGGUAACCAAGGGCGAAUUCUG